CAGAGCGGCACGCAGUUCGGCGGCGGCGGAGGUCUCUUCACACGGUUGCUGAAUUUCUGAAACACAUACCAAAUGAAGCUACUUGGUUUCCAAGCAGACAAAAGUGCCAGAGAAGAGCCCGACGCGUGGUGCGCGAAGAAAACAAGAUCCUGGGUGCAUUCAAAAGCAAAACUACCCAUGGAAAUCUUCAGGAGUCGGUGUUGGGAAUUUACAAACUGACCUGU